UGGCCCAAAACAGAAUAUACUGGCUUAUUUUUAUAUUUGCAUCAGGUCUUUUUUGUUAUUGUCAGUUUGCUUUAGAAAAUAAAACUGGAGUAAAAAUUAAACCCAUCCAUUUCUUUCACCACUUCUACCUACCAUCUCUCCUUCUCUCCAGUUCAAUAAACACUAUCCGGAGGAGCCAAGAUGGCCGAAUAGGAACAGCUCUGGUCUACAGCUCCCAGCAAGAAAGAGGAGACAGAAACAGAAGGGAAGAACAAAAGGAAGAAGAAUAAAAGAAUAGUCCCUGGCACUAUUCUAAACAUUUUACA
rnacentral:lncRNA from 10 species